CUCCCUUUGGGCUGGACUUUGGGCUAUUUCACUUUGCGAACCUGUUACAUGCACAAAAAAGGUGGGCCUCACAGAAUGACCCAGGACAAUUCACACAAGACUUGAGCGCCUUUAACUUCCUCCCGAUACAGGCAUCACAGGGAACCUCCCCAGCCUGGGCAAACUCCCCGGUGUCGGGCCCUGGAGAGCCCCCAAAGCCUGUAUCUGAGCUCAGAUUCAGUGUGGAUCCCCUGGUAGCAGCCCCGGCUCCCACAGCUCCUCCAGCUCCUCCAGCUCCUCCGGCCAGCAUCAGCCCCUGGAACUGUGAGGAGAUCUCAGCCAGGACCCUGUUGACACUCAUCUCAGGUUUUCUGGAGUACCUCUUCUUGCACAUGGGGCAGAUGAACUUCUUACUGUGGUUCCAGUAGCCCUGUAGGCAGGCCUUGCAGAAACUGUGGCCGCAGGGUGUGGAGACGGGCUCCACAAACACCUCUAGACAAAUGGAGCAGCUAAACUGCUCUUCAGAGAGGGCCCGGCAUCUCGGAGAGCUUCCGUCUGGCAGAAAGAUGCAGGAAAUGAGAGAGACAUAGAGACAUGAUAUAGAUUAGAGUCUUACGGUAUGUUUCCAGAUUGGCAAAUACUGAAAUGGAGAAAUACUAAAACUUGACUACUGAAUUUGUUCGGCUUCUGACUUGUUUCGCUGCCUUCUCAGGUCCUUUACAACUUUAUGUCACAAAUGAGUUUCUAAGAUCACAGUUAUGUCAGAGACGUGAACUGAAGCGUGAAUCACUGUGAAACUGCCUGAGAAGGGAUUUCAGGACAGAAGUCUAGCAGUUGCACUAGCAGAUUUAGGAAAACAUGAUUUAAUACUUGACUAAAGAAAUGUUGUUUUCUGCAUGCUUUAUCUGACAGUAAGUCAUGCUGUAUGUGCUGAUAUUGAGCGAAAUUAUGGACGAUUAUGUACCUGUGUUGCCCUCUGUCUAACUACAGGGUCAAAGGUCCGUGUGUGUGCAGCUAUAAUCUGGUAUUGUUCCUUUGGCACUUGAGUUAGAUCAUACAGAGUCACAGAGGAGAAGUGUAAUGAGGUCAUUUUGUAUCAUGACCUGUAAAAUCUUCAAAAUCCAGAUGUGGUUUGGUUCAAUUUUUAAAGUGAGAAUAUAAUUUACAUUCAAAUGCUUUAAUUUAAUGGAACAAAGGAAUGCACUGUAACAUAA